AAACGCACGAAAUGCGAUACCUAGUGUGAAUUGCAGAAUUCCGCGAAUCAUCGAGUUUUUGAACGCAAGUUGCGCCCGAGGCUCGUACCGAGGGCAUGUCUGUCUGAGCGUCCU
rnacentral:rRNA from 1 species